UUCCUGGUCAUUCAACACUCGGCUUAAACUCUGCCUUCUUUUAUUGUUGAGACAGAGUCUCGUUCUGUCGCCCAAGCUGGAGUGCCAUGGCAUGGCCUCGGCUCACUGCAACCUCCGUCUCCCGGGUUCAAGCGAUUCUCGUGCCUUAGCCUCCCAAGUAGCUGGGAUUACAGGCACACGCCUCCACGCCCAGCAAAUUUUUGUAUUUUUAGUGGAGACGGGGUUUUACCAUGUUGGCCAGGCUGGUCUCAAACUCCUGACCUCAAGUGAUCCACCCACCUGGGCCUCCCAAGGUGCUGGGAUUACAGGUGUGAGCCACUGCGCCUAGCCAAACCCUGCCUUCUUAUCAGCCUUUCACCCCUACCUCCCCAAUGAGGACCUCCACCCCCUGCAAGUGGCCUCCACCAUCCCUUAUUUCAGGGAGUCCUCAAGGGGUGACUCAUGUGUACUAUUUGCAAGAGUUACAUGGGGCCACUCUUGUUGGAUUCUUGGUUUUACUCACAAAGCCACCUGGUAGGGGGGCUGCCCUGAUGCCACGGCCCCUGGGGUGAGGGCUAAGGAUGCUGCUUCCCAUUGCUGCCACAGCCACCAGCCCUGGAGUCUCGGGAGGGUACCCAGAGGGGGACGCACUGCUCUCCAGCUCUGCCCACAGGCACUGAAGCCACUGCUUCUGCCCAGAGCUCUUAGCCUCCCUCGGGAAAGCAGCUCCCUCUGUUUCUGCCCCUUUCCCCAUCCUCCAGGAGAACUAAUGCUUCAUGUUUUUCCUUGGUGUCUGUCUCUCCUAUUUCCACCCAUCUCUGCUGGAGACCCCUAUCUCAAUUUUUAAAAAAAUCACCCAUCAAGAAACAAAGCUCCGUGCGUGGCACUCUGUGCAGAGAGAUCUGCACAAAGGAAGAGUCCGAUGGCCGCCUCCCAGCCUGCUUCCUGGAUUCACAGUCUUUGCAGAUGAAACAAGUCAAGAUGAAGGCAGACCGGAUUAGGGUGGGCCCUAAAUCCAAUGACCGGUGUCUUUAUGUAAACGAAGAGGGAGAUGUGGAUACAGAGUCGCAGAGGAGACACAGGGAGGAUCCCUGUCACAAUGAAGGCAGAGAUUAGAGUGACGCUGUUUACAAACCAAGGACACCAAGGAUUUCCAGGAGAUCCAGAAGCUAGGACAAGACAAGGAAGGCUCCUUUCCCAGGGCCUUGAGAGGGAGCGUGGCCCUGCUGACACCUUAAUUUCAGACUUCUGGCCUCCAGAACUGCAAGUGAAUAAAUUUCUGUUGUUUUCAGCUACCAAAA